rnacentral:rRNA from 1 species
CGCCGUAAACGAUGAGCACUAGUUGUUGGGUCCGAAUGGAUUCAGUGACGCAGUUAACGCAAUAAGUGCUCCGCCUGGGGAGUACGGUGGCAACACUAAAACUCAAAGGAAUUGACGGGGACCCGCACAAGCAGCGGAGCAUGUGGUUUAAUUCGAAGCAACGCGAAAAACCUUACCAGGGCUUGACAUCCCUCUGACAGAUCCUUAACCGGAUCCUUCUUCGGACAGAGGAGACAGGUGGUGCAUGGUUGUCGUCAGCUCGUGUCGUGAGAUGUUGGGUUAAGUCCCGCAACGAGCGCAACCCUUGUCGUCAGUUACUAACAUUAAGUUGAGGACUCUGACGAGACUGCCGAGGUUAACUCGGAGGAAGGUGGGGAUGACGUCAAAUCAUCAUGCCCCUUAUGUUCUGGGCUACACACGUGCUACAAUGGUCGGUACAAUGAGAAGCAAGAUGGCGACAUGGAGCAAAUCACCAAAACCGAUCUCAGUUCGGAUUGCAGGCUGCAACUCGCCUGCAUGAAGUCGGAGUUGCU